rnacentral:rRNA from 1 species
GACGAACGCUGGCGGCGUGCUUAACACAUGCAAGUCGAACGCUGAAGCUUGGUGCUUGCACUGGGUGGAUGAGUGGCGAACGGGUGAGUAAUACGUGAGUAACCUGCCCUUGACUCUGGGAUAAGCCUGGGAAACUGGGUCUAAUACUGGAUACGACAUGUCACCGCAUGGUGGUGUGUGGAAAGGGUUUUACUGGUUUUGGAUGGGCUCACGGCCUAUCAGCUUGUUGGUGGGGUAAUGGCUCACCAAGGCGACGACGGGUAGCCGGCCUGAGAGGGUGACCGGCCACACUGGGACUGAGACACGGCACAGACUCCUACGGGAGGCAGCAGUGGGGAAUAUUGCACAAUGGGCGAAAGCCUGAUGCAGCGACGCCGCGUGAGGGAUGACGGCCUUCGGGUUGUAAACCUCUUUCAGCACGGAAGAAGCGAAAGUGACGGUACGUGCAGAAGAAGCGCCGGCUAACUACGUG